GGACACUAGGGAAGUGGAAAGGGAAGACAGGGAAGGAAGGACUGGGGCGGGGAAGAGGCACUCCAUGAUGUUUCUGGCAUGAGAGACUGAAGACCUCUCCGAAAAAGAAGGGGAGUAUCAAUGGAAAUACCAUUUGGACAGCACUGGACAGACCAGUGGCCGGGGUCACGGGUACAGGGGACCCUUCUCUAUUUCUUGUCUCAGCAUGCAGUGAACAAGAGGAAUCACAAGAAACACGAGCUUUUCAGGUACUCUCGGCAGAGAAGCGGGUCGGCUGGUUGAAGAUGUUCUUAAUAGAUGCUCUGCACAAAAUGGGAAGGGUCAAAAUAAAGACAUCAGACACUGAACUUGAAGUCACAAAGGUAGCAGGAAGAUUCUAGCUGUUCCGGAAUCCUUUGUUGGAAAGGCUACCCCUCUUCCAUUUAAUUACCUUGGCAGCUCUGCUGAAAAUCAGCUGACCUAUUGCUGGAUUAUCUAAAAUGUCUACAUUUAAACUUAUGUCCGUUAAGUGCAGCUGCUGGUACUCUGCUAUCUGUGGGAUGGGGAGUUUAUCAGCUUAAUGAAGAUUUCAAAUAAACAAACAA